UGCGCGCUGGCUGCGUACCUUAAACUGCUUUCCGCACGUGGAGCACAGGAAAUCUUUGCGGUCCGAGUGGCGCAGCAUGUGCAGGCGCAGUUUAUCGGGGCGGCAGAAGGCCUUGUCACACUCCGUGCACUGGUAGAUCUUUUCCGAGUGGAAGCUGCGCACGUGCUUCUUCACCUGCGGAGACACAGACAGGCUCAGGGGAGCAAGGGAACGACCUAGGCAGCUGCUCGACGCUAGGGGGAGCCAGACGCGCGGCCACGGGCUCUCUCAACCUGGACGUGGCGGCCGACCAGUGGGAGGUGGCCUCCCAACAACCGCACUCUGUCCCUGUCACCAAGAAGAAAGAAAUGGAGCAGCCAGGGGGCUGUGGAAAUCUUAACCGCCCAGGUAACUUAAAUCAAGGACACGGUCUCAGAACUCGCAUGGCCAUAAAUAUCCAAUGAAGAAGAGCGGUGCAGGGGAGCUGAGUGGUGAGUCAUAUCAGCCUAUUCCUAUCAGGCAUUUUGCUUCAUUAUUUUUGGAGUCUCUUUUGCCUUUAGAUUCAGCCUUAAAGCAACUUUGCUAGCUGUUUCUGUGAAAAGAGAAAAUUUCCAACAUUAACAGAACUAUGAUUAAAUCCUAACCUCCUUUUGUAUUGGUAAUUUUUUAAAAGAGCUUUUUUACAGGAUAUUUAGAUUUAAUUAUUCAAAAAUAUUUCAGAUGAAGUUCAAAUGAAAUCAUGAAUAUUCUGGUGUUUAUCUUCCCCCAUUUUGCUCUGGCAAAGAAUAUAAUACAUCGGUGCUUGAUGUGAAAGUAUGCUAUAUACCACUUUCUCUGUUUCCUUCCAAAAUGCAUGACCUUGGAAAUGCAGGACAGGCAAGCAGAGCAGUAGAGGAGAGGCUUUCAGAGCAGGAAACGGGAGCAUACCUCCUAGAGGCUCUAUAUGCCCAUUUUAUGAGAAUGUGUAUUGGCAAGGACGAAGAAAGAAUUUCUUAAAACUAAAGUUGGACCUGGUGUUUACUAUUUGCAAUAAAACGUAAAUGUUUACAUUUUAAAGUCUGAUUUGGACAACUAAGAUCCAAACAAUCUUAUUAUUUUUUUUUUUUAAGAUUUUUUUUUUUAAUUUUUAUUUAUUUAAUUCCCCUCCCCUCCCCCGGUUGUCUGUUUUCUGUGUCUUUUUGCUGCAUCUUGUUUCUUUGUCCGCUUCUGUUGUCGUCAGCGGCACGGGAAGUGUGGGCGGCGCCAUUCCUGGGCAGGCUGCUCCCUCCUUCGCGCUGGGCGGCUCUCCUUAUGGGUGCACUCCUUGCGCGUGGGGCUCCCCUACGCGGGGGACACCCUGCGUGGCGCAGGCACUCCUUGCGCGCAUCAGCACUGCGCAUGGGCCAGCUCCACACGGGUCA
rnacentral:lncRNA from 1 species